AAAAAUAACGAUAAGAUUUGGUUUUGUUACCCCUAAAAACAACUAUAUUAAAAAGUUAUAUAGUAAAAAAUAAGUGGUUGUCUAUUUUAGACCGGAUAAAACAACUAAAAAUAAAAAAAUUCCUAACCCGGAUGAUAAAAAUUUAAGCGGGUUAACACGUCUGCUAUUCAUACUCUGCAACCGAUUAAAAUAUGUUUAACUCACAAAUAUAUACAUUUCGCAUUCUCCACAUUAGUAAAUGAUAUAUUUGCAUAUGUUCUGUUUGAAUUCAUGUAUUACGCUAAAUUUCCG
rnacentral:lncRNA from 1 species